rnacentral:tRNA from 1 species
GCGCCUGUAGCUCAGUCGGAUAGAGCAUCGGCCUUCUAAGCCGAUGGUCGGAGGUUCGAAUCCUCUCAGGCGCG